rnacentral:lncRNA from 1 species
CCGGGAGUUCUGCAUCUUCAUGUGAGGGCUUUGCCAAGACACAGAGAACCCGCAGGGUUGUUGGCUCAGCGGCAGAUCGUCCCACGGGGACAGUCUCUUGUGGUCUGUGUCUCCCCCUUCAGCCCCCUGUGGGGCAGUGAGCCUCCUGCUCUGCUUCUGUGGGUGCAUCAGAGCCCCCCCAGAUGCCCACACGCAGACGCGCACAGGCCUGCACGUGGAAACACAGACAUGCGCACACGCAGGCCCACACACAGACGCACACAGAGCUGCACGUGGAGACACGUGCGCACACGCAGGCCCACACGCAGGCCCACACACAGGUGCACGCGGACCUGCACGUGGAGACACAGAUGUGUGCACAUGCAGGCCCACACACAGGUGAGCGUGGACCUGUGUGAACAGAUGCGCGCAGACCUGCACGUGGAGACACAGACAUGCAGGCGCACAAAGAGAUCCCUCAAGGCUGACACCCAGGAAGGGGCCUCUCACUUGUGGGACUCCCGAGAUGCAGUGGCCAACACGAGUGUAGUGCCCAGUUCACUGCUGGAUAAGACAGAGGCCUGUUCUGGUCACACAUGGGAGGCAGAACCCAGAGACUGGGCCCAGGAGCCCUUCUGCUGACAGUGGGAACUCCCAGCUACGUGUGG